rnacentral:ncRNA from 1 species
ACAACGAAUGGCAAGAAGUCAGCAGAGGUCGUAGUACCUUACGAGUAUUAAGGGAAGGAC